rfam:Phycisphaerae bacterium L21-RPul-D3, complete genome.
GGUCAAGUUACUAAGGGUAUGUGGGGGAUGUCUAGGUGCCGAGAGGCGAAGAAGGACGCGGCAGGCAGCGAAAAGCCCGGGUUAGGAGUCAAGCAUCCGAUUACCCCGGGGUUUCCGAAUGGGUAAACCCAUCAGGGCCGGGCAACCGUACCCUGAUAUCAUCAUCUGAAUGCAUAGGGUGAUGAGGCGAACGUGGAGAACUGAAACAUCUAAGUACCCACAGGAAAGGAAAUCAACCGAGACUCCGUCAGUAGCGGCGAGCGAAAGCGGACCAGCCCGUGCCUUAUCCGUAUAAUAGUCAGGCGAAUGUUUCUGGAAAGCUGAGCCACAGAGGGUGAAAGCCCCGUAGCUGGAAGCUUUUAUACGGAUUGGCACAUACGAGUAUCACGGAACCCGUGGAACUCCGUGUGAAUAUGGGGGGCCCACCCUCCAAGGCUAAGUACUCCUCGGCAACCGAUAGUGCAUAGUAGCGCGAGUGAACGAUGAAAAGUACCCCUACAAGGGGAGUUAAAAGUACCUGAAACCACAUACCUACAAUCAGUGGCAGCCCAUUAAUGGGUGGCCGCAUGCCUUUCGCAUAAUGAGCCGGGGAGUUACUGUCUAUGGCAUAGGUUAAGUCCUUCAGGGACGCAGCCGCAGGGAAACCGAGUCUUAAUAGGGCGAUUCAGUCAUAGGCGGUAGACGCGAAACCAGGUGAUCUACCCAUGGCCAGGUGGAAGGGAGUGUAAAAAUUCCUGGACGACCGAACCCACCAACGUUGAAAAGUUGGGGGAUGAGCUGUGGGGAGGAGUAAAAGUCUAAUCAAACCUGGAGAUAUCUCGUUCUCUUCGAAAUAGCUUUAGGGCUAGCCUCAAGUAAUACCCGUCGGGGGUAGAGCUACUGAUUGGGACUGGGGGGCCACCAGCCUACCCACCCCUACCAAACUCCGAAUACCGUCGGGCUUAUCUUGGGAGUUAGACUGCGGGUGAUAACAUUCGUGGUCAAGAGGGAAACAACCCAGAUCGCCGGUUAAGGUCCCAAAUUUCUGCUAAGUUACAAAGGAAGUCGGUUUGCACAGACAAUCAGGAUGUUGGCUUAGAAGCAGCCACCAUUUAAAAAGUGCGUAAUAGCUUACUGAUCGAGCAAUCCGGUGCCGAUAAUGAACGGGAAUAAGCAGAAAACCGAAGCCGCGGACAAGCAAUUGUGGUAGAAGAGCGCAGCAUUCAGCGUUGAAGCGAUACGGAAACGAGUCGUGGAGCGUAUGCUGGCGAUUAUCCCGGCAUGAGUAACGAUAAAGCAGGUGAGAAUCCUGCUCGCCGAAAACCUGAGGUUUCCUGGGGAAGGUAAAUCCGCCCAGGGUUAGUCGGCCCCUUAGUCGAGGCUGAAAGGCGUAGACGAUGGAGAAGCAGGUUAAUAUUCCUGCACCGUGUUGUAUGACACAGGCAGUGACGUAUUCUUUAAGGCAGUCCCGUGAGUAGUCGAGCGGGUCCCGCAAGGGCGAGGGCGAUUUACGAUCCCGAAGCUGCCGGCGAGAGUACCGAGAAACAGCUGCUGCAGACUGAUUACAGCGCGACCGUACUAAAACUGACACAGGUAGGUGAGGAGAAUAUCCUCAGGCGCUCGAGAGAACCGUCCUUAAGGAACUCGGCAAAUUGACCCCGUAAGUUCGCGAUAAGGGGGCCCUACCCCGCUUCGGCGGGAAGGGGACAGAAAAGUAGCUCUGGCGACUGUUUACCAAAAACACAGUUCUCUGCUAACACUUAAAGUGGAUGUAUAGAGAAUGACGCCUGCUCGGUGCCGGAAGGUUAAGGAAGCUUGUUCACGCUCGCGACUGAAGCCCCGGUAAACGGCGGCCGUAACUAUGACGGUCCUAAGGUAGCGAAGUUCCUUGUCGGGUAAGUUCCGACCUGCAUGAACGGCGUAACGACUGGAGCACUGUCUCAAGGACGGACUCGGUGAAAUUGUAUUUGAGGUGAAGAUACCUCAUACCCGCGGCAAGACGGAAAGACCCCGUGAACCUUUACUGCAGUCAGGUAUUGGCACCUGGCAUAUCAUGCGUAGGAUAGGUGGGAGAUUAUGAAGCGGCCAUUCUGGUGGUCGUGGAGUCAUCCUUGAAAUACCACCCUUGGUGUGUUAGUUGUCUAACGGUGUUCCUUGAAUCAGGGCACCGGACCGUGCUUGAUGGGCAGUUUGACUGGGGCGGUCUCCUCCUAAAGAGUAACGGAGGAGUACAAAGGUACACUCAGCAUGGUUGGCAAUCAUGCGAAGAGCGUAAAGGUAUAAGUGUGCUUGACUGUGAGAGUUAUCGCUCGAACAGAUGCGAAAGCAGGUCUUAGUGAUCCGGUGGUUCCGAGUGGAAGGGCCAUCGCUCAUCAGAUAAAAGGUACUCCGGGGAUAACAGGCUUAUCUCCCCCGAGCGUCCAUAGCGGCGGGGAGGUUUGGCACCUCGAUGUCGGCUCAUCACAUCCUGGGGCUGUAGGCGGUCCCAAGGGUUCGGCUGUUCGCCGAUUAAAGUGGUACGCGAGCUGGGUUCAGACCGGCGUGAGCCAGGUCGGUCCCUAUCUGCCGUGGGCGUAAGAACCUUGAGAAGAUGUUUCCCUAGUACGAGAGGAUUGGGAAGCACUGACCGCUGGUGUACCAGUUGUGCUGCUAAGUGCAACGCUGGGUAGCUAAGUCGGGAAAGGAUAACCGCUGAAGGCAUCUAAGCGGGAAGCCAACUUCAAGAUUAGGGUUCUACAGUUCCCUGGAAGACUACCAGGUUGAUAGGCCGGGUGUGUAAGUGUAGAAAUACAUUAAGCUAACCGGUACUAACGAACGGAUACUUGACCAU